ACAUAUAGAGGUAUAUGUAUAUAUAUAUAUAUAUAUACAUAUAUGAUGUAUAUAUCUCCGAUGAAGUGGCGACUUGUCCAGGAUGUACCCGGCCCUCCGCCCGAAUGCAGCUGGGAUGGGGAUCCAGCAACCCCCGGGAAAAGUGGUAGAAAUCAAUAAAUGUAUAUAUAUUGUAUACAUAUGUCCAUCCAUUUUCUACCUCUUGUCACAUAUAUAAAAUGAAAAAAAAAUAUGAAUAUAUCUUUACCUUACUUUUAACAUGAGUGACUUAUGACCUUUAAAAAAAGUCUAUAAAUAUUUCACCAGACUAAAAGUGUGGACAAUAUUGCCAUCAGAAGAGAAAUAGUACUUAAGUCCCUCCAAUAUUUAUAGUACAUACUGGAGCAUUUUUUUUAACGAUUAGAAUAUUUGGUCUCGUUUCCGCAAUCAUUUCGUUUUUUGUAAAAAGACUCUCUGGACUGUGCUAUAUAGUGUAGUGUGUGUGUGUGUGUGUCCCAAUUCCACAGGGACAGUCAUGACCCAGGUUCUAUGGUCAGGAAAAAACCGGCCAAUCAGAGAAGAACCACUCCCAGUGUUUCCUGUGCUGUAUGGAAGUUUUCCCGCAGAAGUCAGAGCACGGAUGUCAGAGGAAUGUCACAAAGCUUGUAGCUGAAAGUCAAACAUUCUUAUUUAUUUACACAAUGGCAAUGAAGCCUGGAGGCCUUUUGCCAAAAUGUAAAAAUACAGAUUUUGGGAUUCAAAGGUUUGUUUUUUUUGCAACUUCCCUUUAUUUGUUCCCAGAUUGAAAUUAUUUUUCUUUUAGCAUGAAAAAAAGCCAUUAUCAGACACUCAUUUAGUCAUUUAUUCAAUAACCAUCAUUUCCAACAAAAGCAAAAACCUCAUAGAAAUACAUUUAUUCAUUCAUUUUCCACUAUUCAACAACAAUUAAAGCAAGUUGCUUUUUAAAGAAAUUAAGUACCAGAUGAGAGUCAGUGUAUUCAACGUGACUUUUGCUCCCAAGUUGAAUUCCCGAGCAAGGCAGAGCAAACAUUCCCACUCCCGGCCACCAGGGGGAAGAUGCCGAGAGUGUAGGAUGUUUACACUUCCUGCGACUCAGUGGUCCAUCAUUUGAUGGAUGUGAGGGUGAGUUAGUUUACAAUAUGUCACUGCUUCCUUCCUUCUCUUCUUCCUUCGAGUCUUUGGUCCUGUGCUGUGCUGUGUUACACACACACGCACACACACAAACGCACGCACACAUCCUCUCAGCCCAGCUGAAGAAUGAAGACAUUUAUUACAAAAACGUCAGCACUGGCUUUUUUCAUGUGACAUCUCAGAGUAUCGAAGCUCCUCUCAGCCACCGUCUUCACUUUGUUUGUAAUUUGACUUUAGAUCAUUAUUUUGCUGACUUUGUAUAAUUUCUGUCAAAUAAUUUAACACGUUUUUAUCAUGAAUUGAGCAAUACAUGUUGUAUAAAGAGUAAGAGUGUGUAUUUAAAUGCGCAGCAUAUAUUGAGGAAUGUGCCACUGCUAAAAACAUGCUUGUUGUUUUUAUUUAGUGAAUAUUUAUCCCCGGUAACUAAUGAUGUUUGUUGGUUGAGUGGCAAAGGUUGAUGAUGUCUAUGUAAGAUGUGGACUAAAACUAGGACACAAAAGCAGACUGUGUUAAUACAAGUUUGAGAAACGGUAAAAGCAAAGUUGUUAAAAAGUACAUCGACGAAGACAAAUACUGACAACCGUGUCUAAAAUAAUUUAUUGUUAGUCCAUUAAUUUUAAAUGUAGCACCUUUUACUACAUAUUUUGUAUAUCUUAAUUCACUCUUCAGUGUUUGUCAUUUUACAUUUGUUACCUUUUUUUUUUACAUAUUCCUGACUUAUUUCCUAUUCAUAUUAAAGAUGGCAACAUGUUACAUACAAGAAGCAGUCUAACUAUAUCAGUCAAACUUUUAAAUACAAUUAAAGCUGCAGUAUGCCACUACUUAAGAUGACUAUUUGCAACAAAAAAAAAAAAAACAACGUCGGCCUGCAUGUGUUACUAAUUAUAGUUUAAAAGAACAGAUUUAAAGGAUCUAUGAUGAAGUUGAUCUUUUCUGACUUAUAAAUAAUGUUACAAUGUUAGAAACACGUGUUAAAGGCCUACUGAAACCCAGGACUACCGACCACGCACGCAGUCUGAUAGUUUGUAUAUCAAAGAUGAAAUAUUAACAUUGCAACACAUGCCAAUACGGCCGGUUUAGUUGACUAAAUUGCAAUUUUAAAUUUCCCGCGAAGUUUCUUGUUGUAAACGUCGCGGAAUGAUGACGCGUGCGCGUGACGUCACGGACUGUCAGGAAAUAUUAGCGCACCACCAUUUGCGGCUAAAAGUCGUCUCUUUUCAUCGCCCAAUUAAACAGUAUUCUGGACAUCUGUGUUGCUGAAUCUUUUGCUAUUUGUUCAAUUAAUAAUGGAGACUAUAAAGAACAAUGCUGUUGGUGGAAAGCGGUGUAUUGCAGCUGUCUUUGGCACCGAGACAGACGGUGUUUCUUUGUUUUUAACACAGAGCGGUCAAGCGAACAUGUUUCUCUACGUCAACCAGCAUGUUUUUGGAUGGGAAAAUUGUGAUAUAUAUCUUACUGGAAACAUUAUUGGAUUAAUAGUCCUUCUGCAGUUGCUGUUUAAAAGGCAGCUGUGAGCUUGGCUCCUCGGCUUCUAUCUGAGAUACUGCGUGUUCACCGCAGCCAUCCGACCUCGAGGUAUGUCUUUACAAUCUCACUAAAACACUAUCAAAACAAUAAGCAGAUCAGGGACCUUCCAGAAUUAUCCUAGUAACUGUGUCUAAUUACGUCUGAAACGCUCAUACUGCUUCCGCCACCGUUGCUUUUUAUUUUAUUAUUAUUUUUCUAGUCCUUCGCUAUCAAUAUCAUCAUCCACAAAUCUUUCAUCCUUGCUCAAAUUAAUGGGGAAAUUGUUGUUUUCUCGUUCUGAAUAGCUCUUGCCGCUGUGGACUCCCAUUAUAAACACUGUGAGGAUGUGAGGAGCCCUCUCACCGGUGAUGUCAUCGUCUGCUACUUCCGGUAAAGGCGAGGUUUUUUUGUCAGCACCAAAAGUUGCAAACUUUAUCGUCGAUGUUCUCUACUAAAUCCUUUCAGCAAUAAUAUGGCAAAAUCGCAAAAUGAUCAAGUAUGACACAUAGAAUGGACUUGCUAUCCCCGUUUAAAUAAGAAAAUCUCAUUUCAGUAGGCCUUUAAAGCUGAAUUUCUCCCAGGGAUCAAUAAAGUACUUUCUAUUCUAUUCUAAACAAUGCCAAGGUGUCAAGUCAUAAGGUUCAUGCAUUUUUCCGUGAGCUUACACAGUUUUGGAUACCUCUUUUUGCGUGUAAUUGCAAUCUGGAUACGUUGUGACGGCACAGCGAGGUGGACGUACUUAUUUGGACAUUAAGUCAAGCUGUCAGCCAGAGGGGGAAGUGCACUGUAUGAAGUCAGGUGUAUUUGAAGAAAAGGUAAAAUAAAGUACUACUUUCAUCUAAUCUUGGCAUGCACAUCAUAACACAGAGGGUGAACUAGUUUUUUUGCAGGUGUACCUAAUGUGACUAGGUGAAUCUACAUCCAUCCAAGUUUCUACCGCUUAUUACCUUUGGGGUCGCGGGGGGUGCUGGUGCCUAUCUCAGCUACAUAUUGAAGUUUAUUUCUGACCACGUAUGUGAAAAAUGGUAUAUUAUUAUGUGGAGGGAGGUUGUGAUUAGCACACCGCAGGUAGGAAGAUCAGCGACCCCGUCUGGGUGGCUGGAGACAGCGCACCCUCAGACGGGGGCGUGGCAUGGGCAGGACGGCGAGACGCAGCUGGCAGUUGAUUAGAUGUCGCAGGUGGUACGCGCUGUUCUAAUUAACUGUUGUCUUUAACAGUAAACGGCCAGCGGAGGAGAAGGGGGCUGCUGUUGGUGAGACUGAAAAAGUCAAGCAGAAAAGCGUGAUCCUGAGCAAAAUUGAAAAAUUAAAACUACUGUCACACCCGAACCACUGGCGUCCAGCGUGCAUCUGUGGGAACUGUGAGUAAGAAGCUUACAAUUGGCGCCCAACAAAAACAAAAGCUGCGAUGUCGUCACCAAGCCCCAUAGAGGCGCUGGGACAGUUGCUGGCAGAAGUGUCUACCGCAGAUGGACGCGAUGCAAAGCCAAGUUGCGCAGCAGAGUCAGAUUCUGCAGGCGCUGACGGACAGGACCGGAGCGGGGACACACACAACAGCGAGGCCGGCUUUGACAGCAGUGGGGAUGCACAGGAUGGCGGAAACCGAAGAUCCACAUAGUUUCCUGGACAUGUUCGAGGCCACAGCCAAGUCAUGCGGAUGGCCGGAAGAAGAGUGGGCGGUGCGGCUGCUGCCGUUGCUGGCGGGAGAGGCGCAGCGAGCGGCGCUCAGCCUGCCACCAGCGUCCCGGGUGAGCUACAGGGACAUGAGGAGGGCGGUGUUGGACCGGACAAGAGGAACCAAAGAAGACCAUAGACGGAAGUUUCGAAGCAGGAAACUAGGACAAGAUGAGCGGCCUUUCGUCCAGGGGCAACAAUUAAGAGAUGCGGCAACCAGAUGGCUACAACCCGGAAGCACCGAAGAGGUGAUCGAACAAAUAAUAUUGGAGCAAUUCCUGGAGGCAAUCCCGGCGCGGACAUCGGCAUGGGUCCGCUACCACCGGCCACAAGAGGUAGCAGCGGCGGUAGCCUUGGCGGAGGACCACCUGGCGGUACAGCGGGAGAAGGUUGCAGGAGGAGCGGAGCGGCCAGUACCGGCGCCGCGCAGAAUGCGGCCACCACCAGAGGGAACAGGCCACGAAACAUAAAUUUGCUUUCUCCUCCGCAGGGACAGACCGCUGCAGACACUGCGUCUCCCCCGCAAACAGCGGCUCGAAUGCCGGGGCAGGUGUGUUGGAGGUGCCGACGACUGGGUCACCUGCAACGGGAGUGUCCAGCGAUGGAAGUGGGGAAGGUGAUCCGGGUGGACGACCCUCCGGCAUCCUCCCCUGGUCCGGGAGAGACAUACUAUGUACCGGUAAGGAUACAAGGGAGUAUACACCGGGCGAUGGUGGAUUCGGGCUGUGAACAAUCCAUGAUUCACCAAAACCUGGUUCGACCCGGGGUAUUGAGUAAGGUUACACGGGUGCGGGUUAAAUGUGUGCAUGGGGAUAUUCACACGUAUCCCGUUGUGCCGGUGGAAAUUUUUUUCAGGGGUGAAAAACAUAAUGUUAAGGCUGCUGUAAGUUCGCGCCUUGCGCACCCCUUAAUCUUGGGAACAAAUUGGUCGGGAUUUAAGGGGUUAAUGAAGCAAUGUGCAGGUGUGCGUUCACGGACGGUAGGGAAAGGGGAUACCCGUGCUGUUCUCAUCGGCGACGCGAGUUUAUUCGAUGCUGCCGAGGGGGAGGGGGAGGGAGAAGGGGGGCCGGCGGGGACUUCCCAGGAGGUUUCCCCGGUGCCCCGAUGGCGCCCCACGGAUGAUUUUCCACUCGAGCAGUCUCGAGAUGACACUUUGCGCGAGACCUGGGACAAAGUGAUUGCAAUUGAUGGGCAGCGGGUUCGCCUGGGAAUAACGCGGGACUUCCCUCAUUUUGUAUUGAUUAGGGACAGACUAUACAGAGUGAGCCGUGACACUCAGACAGGGGAGGAAAUUACCCAAUUGUUGGUACCAAAAAGCCGUCGGGAAAUGAUUUUCCAGGCGGCUCAUUUUAACCCAAUGGCUGGACACAUGGGCUAUGAUAAAACACUUAAUUGGAUAAUUUCUAUUGGCCAGGCAUUCGGGCAGACGUGCGCCGGUGGUGCGCGGCAUGCCCGGAAUGUCAACUAGUCAACCCCACGGCCACCCCUAGAGCACCUUUGAGGCCAUUACCACUCAUAGAGGUCCCAUUUGAGCGAAUUGGCAUGGACCUUGUCGGGCCAUUUCACCCGAGCUUCCAGGGAUAUCGCUUUGCACUAGUCCUGGUGCAUUAUGCAACGCGCUAUCCCGAAGCAGUGCCACUGCGCUCCAUCUCUGCAAAGAGUGUAGCACAGGCACUAUUUCAAAUUAUCUCCCGAGUUGGAAUCCCGAAAGAGAUUCUAACUGACCAAGGCACGUCCUUUAUGUCACGCACGUUAAAGGAACUGUACGGUUUAUUGGGGAUCAAGUCUAUUUGGACUAGCGUUUACCACCCACAGACAGAUGAGUUGGUGGAGCGGAUGAAUAGAACUUUGAAAUCCAUGAUCCGGAAGUUCGUACACGAGGACAAACCAAAUUGGCAUAAAUGGUUGGAUCCCCUGUUAUUUGCAGUGCGGGAGGUUCCCCAGGCCUCAACAAGAUUUUCUCCAUUUGAGUUAUUGUUCGGCAGGAAGCCGAGGGGGGUACUAGACCUGGUUAAAGAAAGCUGGGAGGAAGGUCCAAGCCCCAGUAAAAAUGAAAUUCAGUAUGUCAUGGACUUGAGAGCAAAACUCCACACAUUAGGGCACUUGUCACGUGAGAAUUUGCUCCAAGCUCAAAAACGUCAACAGCGCCUGUAUAACAGGGGAGCGCAACUUAGACAAUUUUCACCGGGAGAGAAAGUACUUGUGUUACUCCCAACAUCCAGUUCCAAAUUACUCGCCAAGUGGCAAGGACCCUUCGUGGUCACACGACGAGUAGGUGAGGUGGAUUAUGAGGUCAGGCGGUCUGACCGGGGCGGGGCAACACAAAUAUACCACCUCAACCUACUAAAAGGUUGGAGGGAAGCGGAGCCCGUCUCCAUGGUGACGGCGAUAGCGGAGAGCGAGGAGCUGGGGCUGGAGGUUUCCCUCUCCGCUGUGAUAAUCAUCUUACGCUGUCACAGAAAGCAGACGUGGCCAAAUUGCAGCAACAUUUUGCUCACGUUUUCUCUCCCCUGCCAGGCCGCACGACUCUCACCCAGCAUCACAUAGAGACCAGCACGGGCGUGACUGUGAGGUCUUGGCCCUAUAGGCUGCCCGAACACAAACGCAAAGUAGUUCGGGAAGAAUUAAAAGCCAUGUUGGAAUUGGGAGUGAUAGAAGAGUCCCACAGUGCAUGGUGUAGCCCCAUAGUUCUGGUAGGGAAGAAAGAUGGGUCUGUACGGUUCUGUGUAGACUACCGCAAGGUGAAUGAUGUGUCACGUUUUGACACCUAUCCAAUGUCUCGGGUCGACGAGCUCCUGGACCGGUUGGGCACUGCUCGUUUUUUUACGACACUGGAUUUGACUAAGGGCUACUGGCAGAUUCCCUUGUCUCCAGAGUCCAAGGAAAAAACGUCAUUCUCCACUCUGGAAGGGUUAUACCAAUUCGUGACCCUUCCGUUCGGCUUGUUGGGUGCGCCCGCCACAUUUCAGAGACUCAUGGACCGGGUGCUGCAACCGCACACUGCAUAUGCUGCCGCCUAUCUGGAUGAUGUCAUCAUCCAGGGGAACAGCUGGGCGGAGCAUAUGCAGAGAGUGGGAGCGGUACUCGAGUCCCUCAGGCGGGCGGGGCUCACCGCCAACCCGUCGAAGUGCGCGGUUGGCCGGCGGGAGGUACAGUAACUGGGGUACCACUUGGGGGAAGGCCAGGUGCGGCCCCAGGUAGAUAAAACCGCAGCAGUUGCGGCCUGCCCGACCCCGAAGACGAAAAAGGAGGUGAGGCAGUUUUUGGGGCUGGUGGGCUACUACCGGAGGUUUCUCCCCCGGUUUGCAGACCUGACCAGUCCACUAACUGACCUCACCCGGAAAGGUGCCCCAGAUCUGGUCCAGUGGACAGAGCGGUGCCAGCAGGCAUUCGAGAAGGCAGAUGCGUCGGGCAGAGGACUGGGAGCCGUUUUAUCCCAGCAGCGGGGGGGCAGCGACCAUCCGGUCCUGUACAUCAGCAGGAAACUUUCGGAAAGGGAAACCAGAUACAGCACGGUGGGGAGGGAGUGCCUCGCCAUCCGGUGGGCUGUCGGUGCCCUGCGGUACUAUCUGCUGGGACGCCCAUUCAGCCUCUGCUCGGACCACAAGCCCCUCCAGUGGCUCCACCGCAUGAAAGAUCCCAACGCGCGGAUCAACAGGUGGUAUCUCGCUUUACAACCCUACAAUUUCAGAGUGGUCCAUAGGCCGGGAGCGCAGAUGGUCGGCAGACUUCCUCUCCCGCGCUCAGGCGUGGGGAGUAAGUGCGGCCGGGGCCCGGCCUAAGUCUGGCGGUGGAGGUAUGUGGAGGGAGGUUGUGAUUAGCACACUGCAGGUAGGAAGAUCAGCGACCCCGUCUGGGUGGCUGGAGACAGCGCACCCUCAGACGGGGGCGUGGCAUGGGCAGCACGGCGAGACGCAGCUGGCAGUUGAUUAGAUGUCGCAGGUGGUACGCGCUGAUCUAAUCAACUGUUGUCUUUAACAGUAAACGGCCAGCGGAGGAGAAGGGGGCUGCUGUUGGUGAGACUGAAAAAGUCAAGCAGAAAAGCGUGAUCCUGAGCAAAAUUGAAAAAUUAAAACUACUGUCACACCCGAA